GCAGGGCGUGGUAGUGCACACCUGUAAUCCCAGCAGCUCAGGAAGCUGAGACAGGAGGAUCAAAGGUUCAAAGCCAGCCUUAGCAACUUAGCAAGGCUAUAAGCAACCUAAUGAGACCCUGUCUCAA
rnacentral:sRNA from 1 species